AGAGAACGAGGGAACAACCUUCUUGGGCGGCCUGAUCAGACACCCACUCAACAGGGAAGGUGUUUGACACCCUGGCUGAAGGGUCUACCACAUUGUCAUCUUUACAGCUCACCCUCCCCACUCUCCACUACACGUGUGAUGUCUGUCAACGCAGGCUAAUUAGGAUUUGCUGAAGGAAGCAACAGGGCUUGGAGCCCUCUGAUCUUCCGGAGAGGCCCUGCCCUCAUUUGUCUUCCGCACUGAAUAUCCUUGACUCUAUCUUCCUCUGUUUGGACGCCUCAGCUUCACUGGGAGCCAGGUGCAGCCAUCCUACAAUCAGAUGUAAACAGUCUCUCCUCUCUUUGUGCAGGGCAGCUCUUUGUGCAAAACAGGAAGAAAACAACACGGAGAUGGAUCAACCAAAUUGCACGAAAUGGACAUAGAGUGCUGAGGAUAUUAAGUGUCACGGAUACUGGAAAAUGUGAAGAAAUAAUCCCCCAAAUGUUUCAGAUAUUAGUAACUUCCUUUUAAGUAGAACUUAUCUUCCUUUUUAAGGGAAAAAUGUCUAUCUCUUUGUAAACGUGCACUUUCAUAUCUGUAACAAAUUGCUAAACAGAGUCUGUUGUAUUCAAGCAAAAACGUAGACAUUUGUAACCUAUUGCUGAAAGAGUUUAAACUAAAAUUUUAGACAAUUUUGAACACCUAGGUAAAUGUGUGAAAAAAAUACAAGAGGCCGGAGGCAAGAAAUGCAAAGCAGCUGCAUUUAAGUCUUCACUUUUUCCUUUACUAAUUAGCAAGUGAUAACCUUGGCCAGGGUAUGCAAAGGAAUAGCCUGCAUGGAUAUGGCCGGGGCCGUCACGUCUAUGCAGGUCAGCCUGUGUGGUGACGUCCACUUCUGAUGUAGCUGUCUGUCUCUGUCUCUGCAG
ensembl:lncRNA